rnacentral:rRNA from 1 species
UUAUAUUGGAGGGCAAGUCUGGUGCCAGCAGCCGCGGUAAUUCCAGCUCCAAUAGCGUAUAUUAAAGUUGUUGCGGUUAAAAAGCUCGUAGUUGGAUCUCAGCUCACGCUAAGUGGUCCACUUAAUGGUGGUUACUACUUAGCUGAGCAUUUUACAGAUUUGUCUCUUGAUGCUCUUCACCGAGUGUCAAGAGUGGUCUGUACGUUUACUUUGAAAAAAUUAGAGUGCUUAAAGCAGGCAACUCGCCCGAAUAAUCUUGCAUGGAAUAAUGGAAUAGGACCUUGGUUCUAUUUUGUUGGUCUCCGGAAUCUGAGGUAAUGAUUAAGAGGGACAGACGGGGGCAUUCGUAUUGCGCCGCUAGAGGUGAAAUUCUUGGACCGGCGCAAGACGAACUACAGCGAAAGCAUUGCCAAGAAUGUUUUCAUUAAUCAAGAACGAAAGUUAGAGGUUCGAAGGCGAUCAGAUACCGUCCCUAGUUCUAACCAUAAACGAUGCCAAA